rnacentral:rRNA from 1 species
GGUAACGUCAAGAGCCACAGGUAUUAGCCGUGACCUUUUCUUCCCAAUUGAAAGUGCUUUACAACCCGCAGGCCUUCUUCACACACGCGGUAUUGCUGGAUCAGGGUUGCCCCCCAUUGUCCAAUAUUCCCCA